rnacentral:lncRNA from 1 species
ACACCUCAAACUCAACAUGAGUUCUACGGAGGAGAAACAAAAGGACCGACGAAACAGACUCCUAAAACCCCUUCUAAGCUUCUAGUCAGACUUGCUAACGCUCAGCCUGCUGGCAACCUUCGGCAAACUACAAGGCUACUCUUGUCUUCCCAAAUUGUCACUGAAGCCACACCUCAAACAGGACAAAAGUUCUAGACCAGAGAAACAAAGGACGAAAAACGCUAGUUUAUGACAGAAAUCAAACUUUCCAGCUGGGCUUGCUGAAGGUCCCCCUGCCGGCAUCAUUUGACACCCAGGUGCCAAGAGAGACUCUCCUGAGAAGAAAAAUAGAAUCCCAACCAGACCAGACUCGCUAUGCUUGUAGUCUGUUUCUGAAGUUCCACCCAUUCUUAUUGAAGAAGUCCAGGACAGUAGUUUCUAGUUUGCAGCAAUUGUCCUUCAAAGCAGCUUUCUCUUCCUCUUUAGAGAGC